ensembl:lncRNA
GAGGGGAUGGCAGCGGGGCAGGGAAGGGACAGGAGGAUGCGUGUGAAGAGCAAAUGGUGGCUGGUGAGACGGCAACGUGGGUGGAGAGCCCUAAGUAGUCGAGCUGGCUCAUAGGAAGCUGAAAGGAUGCUAAUGGGAGGUAGGGGAAAUGAGCCCAGGCAGCAUAGAACUGAGUGAGAGGCGGGGAAUUUGACAUGCAUGUCACGAGGGAGAAAGGAAAAACAGAGGCAGUGGUAUAGAGGGAAUUGCUCACCUCCCCAUCCUCACUGGCACACACGCAGAGGGGCAGUCAUUUAAGCUGCUCCAAGCACUUUUUUAGCCUCAGACUUUGUUAAGAGACUCUUCAGCAGCCCCAAGUGUAAGACACUCUCUGGACAGCAUCUCUGACCACGUUCCUUGGGGAAAACUGGAUGAACCAUGCUGAAGAUGCCAGCUGGUGGCACGGGGCACAGGGAAGCGAUAUGGGACCCAGGAGGUGAGGAUGAAGGGACUGCCUGCUGCUUCACUGAAGACAUCACCAAAACUAGACCUGAGAAGAGUCA